AUGAAUCUCCUAGCCUGGAAUUGUCGAGGGUUGGGGUUGGACUCGACAGUUGGCGAGCUUCGAGACCUGAUUAGGUCCUACAACCCAUUGGUGGUAUUUUUAUGUGAGACAAAGAAAAGGGUAAGAGCAAUGGAGAAAAUCAAAUGGAGUCUAGGGUUCAGGAAUGGUGUAGCUGUUGACUGUGUGGGUCAGAGUGGAGGAUUGGCCUUGUGGUGGCGAGAUAAUGUCAGUGUCACCGUUAGGCCUUGGAGCCAAUAUUUCAUAGAUGCUAAGGUGGUGUGGGAUGGGAAGAUCUGUAGAUUCACUGGUUUCUAUAGAGAGCCAUGCAGAGAGCAGAGAAAUAAUUCAUGGGAUGCCCUUCGCUAUCUUCGUGCUCAGGAUAAUUUACCAUGGAUUUGCAUGGGAGACUAUAAUGAAGCUAUGUUUCAGUCCGAUCAACGAGGAGGCAAUCCGAGGAGUUUUUUACAGAUGGAAGAUUUUUGUUUUUCUGCUUGGCUGACUGCGGCCUUGCGGACUUGGGUUACUCGGGGUACCAAUACACAUGGGACAACAAGAGAGAGGGGGAUGAGAACGUUCAGGUCAGACUGGACCGGGCUGCAUGCAAUGAUGGGUUCCUAG
rnacentral:rRNA from 1 species